rnacentral:misc_RNA from 1 species
GAUAUCCACCACGCUAAUGUGUUGUGAGUUUUACUCUCUCUCUGUCGAUUUUGCUGUUUAUGAUCGUUCAUAUCGAACUGGGUCUAUUUGAAUUUGGAUGCUCUGCUGCUGUUGAAAUUGUGAACCUUUUGGGAAUUUGGGUUGGACUACGUUUUGUAAACCUUUAGUUUUGUGAUGCUAUGGGUUACUAACCAGAGAAAUUUACCUCGCUAAUUGGGGUUUUGAGGAAGUAUGCUCUCUUGAUAUAUUGUCAUUUUUUUAGAAUUUUAUUUUUGAAUCUUGCUUAAGGAUUUUCUUUUACUACACUAUUCAUUGCAUCUGAUCAACUGUAGAAUAUGUGUAUCUGUGAUUUUUCUAUAAUAAUGCAUGUUAAUUAUGCCUGAUGAAUUCCAGAAAUUUUCCUUUUCUUUUUUUU